rnacentral:rRNA from 1 species
UGCGUAGGCGGAAUAAUAAGUCAGUGGUGAAAUCCUGUGGCUCAACCACAGAACUGCCAUUGAUACUGUUAUUCUUGAAUAUAGUUGAGGUAGGCGGAAUGUGUAAUGUAGCGGUGAAAUGCUUAGAUAUUACACAGAACACCGAUUGCGAAGGCAGCUUGCUAAACUAUGAUUGACGCUGAGGUACGAAAGCGUGGGGAGCGAACAGGAUUAGAUACCCUGGUAGUCC